GCCAGGUGUGGUGGUGCACGCCUGUAGUCCUAGCUACUUGGGAGGCUGAGGUGGGAGAAUCGCUUGAGCCUGGGAGUUCCAGGCUGCAGUGAGCUGUGACUAUACCUCUGCACACUCCAGCCUGGGCAACAGAGUGAGACCCUGUCUCUA
rnacentral:SRP_RNA from 2 species